ensembl:snoRNA
AUGUACUGCCUUUGAACUCUUGGGACCCUCUUUGUGGCACUGUAGGCUAAUCUGUUGCACCAUAGCAGUUCCUGGUCUAUAACUUGGGCUGUCUGUCCAUCUUAGGCAGCCCUUUUAACCCCUAGCUACAGGG